rnacentral:rRNA from 1 species
UACAGAGGUCCCAAGCGUUGUUCGGAUUCACUGGGCGUAAAGGGUGCGUAGGCGGCCUGACAAGUCUGAUGUGAAAUCCCUGGGCUCAACCCAGGGCCUGCAUCGGAAACUGUCGGGCUUGAGUAUGGGAGAGGUGAGUGGAAUUUCCGGUGUAGCGGUGAAAUGCGUAGAUAUCGGAAGGAACACCUGUGGCGAAAGCGGCUCACUGGACCGCAACUGACGCUGAGGCGCGAAAGCUAGGGGAGCAAACAGG